rnacentral:lncRNA from 1 species
AGAGUGCUUCCCUGUGGUGCCUUCUCACUGAAGAUGACCCUGAAGCAUGGAGAAAAGUAAGACUCCAGUAACUCCAAGCUGGGGCUUCUGCUUCUACAGCCACAGGGUGGGAAUGCUCUGCGCUUGGCUGGGGGAAUUUCACAGAAUGGGAGGAAACUGAGGCAUGGGAUGCCUGGGAGAUUUUGUUGAGCUUUGGAUGAUCUAAAUCGCUCUUUGAACAUGGGAGUUAAAGUGCCUGUAGCUGCUUUUUUUUUUUUUUUUUUUUUUUCAUUUAGAAUCAAGGGAACAAUCCGAAAACAGGUUUGCUGCCUAGAUUGAUAGCUAGGCAAAGGAGGCUCAGUAGUCCACAGCUGAAAUGCCAGGAGUUGAACAGGAGACAAAGUAGGGUCACUGGGCCAGAUCCCUGGGAGACAGAGAGACAAUGAGUUUCCAGUCCAUCCUUCAGCCUCAUUCCGAACACAAGCUUUGCAUACUCCCAGAAGUACUGUCCAAUGAAAU